AGUGCCAGCACUUAAGGGGGUAGCACAUUGCUAAAUAUCCUAGAGAUUUCGUUGGAGAUGCUAACGAAUCUAAUUGAUUCAGAAGUCAUUUGAAUAACAAUGACCAGUGAUUCUGCCCUCACCCGAGUAUCCGUAGAGGUGGCAAGCAAGUUAACGGUAGCUGUGACUUGGUUUUGAUCAAGAUUAAUGACAUCCAUCUAUCAUCCAGCAGUAGUUUCUAAGCUAGUGUAGUCACAACGGAAGCCCGGGAAAGUGGAUUCGGGAAUCAGAUUUACGGGACUAUCGGUCAUUCCAAACUCUAACCACUACUCAGAAUUCUCCAUUUGGUAUCUAUCUAAGUAGAGGUUGUCUCGCCGCAUCCUCCACGUAAUCCCGUCCACAUGAGAUAUGGUUCGCAUGAUGAUGUGGAACUAUUGAGUAGGGGGGGAGUUGCUAUGAAGGGGAAGCACGGGA